rnacentral:lncRNA from 1 species
GACUUCACCUACGAAUUCGACGGCUCGAAAGAGUCGGACCUGAUCUACCAAGGCGACGCCUACAUGCCGACGGACACCACCAACCUCCGCCUCACGAACCAGGUGGAGCACAGCUACGGCCGAGUCAUCCACCGCGAUCUGGUGCAACUCUGGAUAGGGGGCGGAGAAAGCCCACUUCGAAACCACCGUGAAAUUCAUCGUGAAACCUAGGUCCUCCAACGAUAUCCCGGCCGACGGCCUCGUCUUCUUCAUGGUCCGUGCCGACCACACCUUCCCGAGCGACCCCGAUGGCGGCAACCUCGGAAUCUACGCGCCCGACAACCCCAAAGUGUUUGCCGUGGAGUUCGACAUCUUCCGCAACCCCGAGUGGGACCCGGAUUUUCCACACGUCGGGAUCAACAUUGAAGCUAGGGCUUCCGAGGCAGUCGUUCAGAUUCCGAAGUCGUUCAUCGGGAAGGAGGUGACCUUGAAGAUCACCUACGUCGCCGCCACUCAAGUCAUCUCCGCCCUCGUCACCGACGGCAUACAGACCGAUGUGGUCAGCUACAUGUGCGACUUGAGCGAUGUUCUUCCUGGGGAGGUUCAAGUCGGCCUCGCCGCCUCCACCGGCGAUUUCGUCGCCAAACAGGACGUCGCUUUCUGGGACUUCCACUCAGCUUUCGAUUAAGAAUGGAGCAUAGAUUCCAUUCGUCUGAAUUUGCGAUCGUAUCAUCUUCUUCAAUUAAGUCCAUUUCCAUUGUGUUUGUGUUUGUGUGUGAUUUUGUGUAUGAGUGUGUAAUAAGGACUACCGAUCGAUCGACUACUCUACUCUUGUGUGUGUAUGGAUUGAAAUAUGAAUGAAAUAGUU